CGGUCAUUCGGAUCAGAAGUCAUCCUUCCCUUCGGAACAUAUUACACUCGUAUACGCUCGUGGAAAAAUGAAUUUCUUAGCCUUUUGGAUAACCGCGAUGUUUAUCAUCGGAUCGGCGUCUACAGAAGGGGAGACACUCUCUGACAAUGAGCUCUUGACCGUCGAGGACGAAGUCGAGGGUCGCGCAUGCUAUGACUGCCAUGGAGGUCAAGGCGGUGGCCACGGAGGCGGAGGUUCCCAUGAGGUCAUAGAUCACACCCAGAUCCACUACGGCUCCGGAGGCUACGAAAACGGACACGUUGGGUGGUGGGGCUUUGGAUUCGGCGGUCUCGCCAUCAUCAUCGUCCCCAUCAUCGGUCUCAAUAUCGCCAUCGUUAUCCUCCUGGCCAUUAUCUUAAAACAUCUCGUCAAAAUCACUGAGCACUUUGGUUACGAGGAGGAACCCAUUUACCAGCCCAUCUACACUGGCGUUUCAACCUACCAGACGUACGAUCAUGGCGGAGCCUACGGAGGCGGGGCAGCCAACACCGGCUACGGAGGAGGAGCAGUCAAUUCCUACGGGGGGUCUCAUGUUGGCGGUUACAAGAAGAGAGUUUCGACUGACGCGAGGAGCAUGGCGGACGCCCCAACUGUGAACUUUUUGUCCAGCAUCGUCGGCGGCGCUCUGGAUAAGUACGCCAAAGUCGACGUUGAGGAAUAACGGCCAUGGAGAGUCCUAGAUCCAGUAGGCCAUCCGGUGGCUGGCUUCAUCUUUGUUACUGUUGUUGUUAUUUUGUUGCUGUUCUUGUUUUUGUUAUUGUAUUAAUUUUGUACGUAUCAUCGGAUGGCUAGCUCCAUCUCUGUUGUGUUUGUUGUUCGGACAUGUCAUUUGUCAACGAUCUCCCUCUUUGUUGUGUUUGUUGUUUGGAUCUCUCUCUUUGUUGUUGUUUUGUCUUAUCAUUUGAUGGCUAACGCCAUCUUGGCUGUUGCCUUUGUUUGUGUUGUUGUUGGUCUUCGUUUUCUUCAUUGUGGAACGAUCCUACAAAGCCAAAAUUGUAACCGAAAAAAAAUGCACCCCUCUCUGAGAGUUAUAUCCAAGCUUAUACCUCGGUUAUAUGAGCCAAAGUCCAUUAAUUCGGACAUGAAUUCAGUUUUUAGAAAUUUUGCCGUGAUGUAUGGACACCUCCCGUGAAAGUCCUGGCAUUUCUACUAAUAAUGAACACGUAGCAAGCAUAUGAUCCAUGGUAGAACGUAAUGGCUUUAAAUCCGUAGUUAGAUAUACAAAGUUGAAUUUCCGUAAGACAUUUUAGUGACGUAGGACUAACGUAAGCUUAUUAUUCAUCCCAUAAAGGCUUCGACAGUGAACUCGCUUCAUUGCAAAGUGAUUAGAGAUAUGGUACCUAUAGGAUUUCGGCCUUGUAUUUAAUUUUGCCCCUCAGAAAUUCGCUACUUUAAAGUAAAACAAAAUUAUUUUUGAGUCAUCAGGAAGAGAAGGGAAACAUUCAUUACCCUUUCCUAAAAAAAAAAAAAAUGCGUUUUCAUCAUGACGGACCCUUGAAUUCGGGAACUUUGACAACCGAGACUUGCUGAUACCCUGGUGAUAUUAAAAUAUACAUUUGAUGGGACAAUGACUGACUUGUGACCGCUGCGCAGAACUAGCUGAAAUGAACUACUUCGAAUGUUCAUAUUCAGUUGACUUGACCGAAUUACCGCUUGACUGAUAUAUAUCGUUUGACAUAAUAUGAUGUUAUUCGAUUUGACGUAAUGACCGUCGUACUGACUUAGGACUGUUUUUAUAUUGAAAUUUUACUUGAGUUUCUACUACAACAUAUCAAAGAAAACUGAAUAUGAUAGAAUGCGUAUUACAAAGUUCUGUUCAAGUGAGUGACUAUGCUAUAAUAUAAAGUCGUUGACUUGCCGUUCGUUAAGAUAGUAGACAAGACGUUUACGUUUUAAGUAUAAACAAGUAGAGGUUUUGGCAAUUGUAUCUUAUUUCAAGUAAUUAUAAAUUAGUAGUACAAAUGCCAGUGUACUGAAAGGUGGAUGUUAAAUGAAAAUGUAAUGUAAUAUAUGUCAUGCGGCCAUUCUCUUCCUUUUCGUAAAAAUUUCCAAGCAUUCGUAAAUACCAGUCUUAUGUGUUUUUUCCUCUUUUCGUUGUUCAGUUGAGCAUCGUUUGUCGUUGUUUCAGUCUUCGUUUAACACUUUGUUACGAUUUCCUAAAAUGGUGUUGUUAAUGUUACUUGAUGAUCUGAUUGUCUUUGUGGUACUUUUCUGUAACUCCUAAAUAUUUUGUUGUUGGUAGAUUUGUUACUGUUAUUGUGUGUUAUUUUUGUUGUGAUUUCUGAAAAUUACCUUGUUCGUACUGUCUACGUUAUGUUACUGUCUUUGUGCCAUUUUAUGUCCUCUAACUGUAACCACAUAUUCAGUUGUGUUCAUUGUCAGCGUUACCUGUUACUGUAAUCAUUUGUGCUGACUAUGGCAAAUAAGAAUGUCAUGUUUGUCAAUAUGUUUACCUCUGUGAUUUUUUGUUUACACGAUGUUUGUUUGUCACUUAAACAUUGUCUUAGAUUAUUGUGAAAGUUCGAGUGUGCGUCUGUUUAUUUGUUACUCAUGUGUUAGUUUAUAUGUGUUUGUGUGUGCAUUUGAUGUAAGUCGUUGACUGGCCAAAAGGGAACUUUCUUUGUAUAGUUUCCAGUGUCAUUCAUUACUUGAUUCCUUGUAAAUAUGUCUGUCAGUUCGUAUGUGUCAACUUAAUCGGCGUUAGUUUGAAUGUCGUGUUUUUGUGCUUUGUUAAAAUGAGAGCGAUACAGCCACCUACCCACCUUUUGUUCGUCCUUUCGUUUGCGCUUUCGAAGAUCAGUUGUCUGAUGGAUCUAUUGCAGACGUCAGAAAUAAUCAUAACACUCCCGUGUGCAUGCACGACCAUCGUAUAGUGUAUGCUGGUUCGUCGCAUGCUAGAGUGCACCUGCCUUCUGUUGUAUACCAUACCAUUAUAAUAGAGGUUAGACAUUCCUAUUUUAGUCUUGUUCACUGUUGUUAAUGAUUUCUACUGCUCCUGCUGGCGGGAUUGCCAGUAGAAUCACAUUGGUAAUGCAGUUGUUUUGUUGUAACAGUAUUGUUCAUAGAAUAGUGAUUUGUGGUUUGUAUUUAUUUAUUUAUUGAAUAUCGUUAUCUAUAAAAAGUUGCGAUUAAA